GAUGAAGAACGUAGUGAAAUGCGAUACGUAAUGUGAAUUGCAGAUUUCAGUGAAUCAUCGAAUCUUUGAACGCACAUUGCGCCCGCUAGUAUUCUGGCGGGCAUGCCUGUUCGAGCGUCAUUUCAACCAUCAAGCCCUAGGCUUGCGUUGGAGCCCUGCGGCUGCCGCAGGCUCCCAAAUCCAGUGGCGGGCUCGUCGUCGUACCGAGUGCAGUAAACAUCCUCGCUCAGGGAACGUGACGGGUUCUUGCCGUGAAACCCCCCACAUAUCAAGGUUGACCUCGGAUCAGGUAGGAAUACCCGCUGAACUUAAGCAUAUCAAUAAGCGGAGGA
rnacentral:misc_RNA from 1 species